AAGCUUGGGAGGAUCACCCUAUGCUGCGCAGCCCAGCUAUUUUAGCAUUUCUCUGACAAAGGAGGGUCCUCAUUGUGUGCCUGGUGCACCUGCCUACCUCGGCCGCUUCUGGAGUGCACCCUCUCAGAGGUGCAGGGCAAACAGCCCAAUCUCUGAUUCACCCAGGGAGGGUUGGCCAGUCUCAGAGUCCAGCAGGAUGAAGAAAUAAUGUUUCUGGUGAAGGUUACCACCUCUGCCAGUCCCUGCGCCACACCACCAUCCACUAUUGAGUGCAUAGACCCUGGACCCUUUGACUCCAGAGGAUUUGCAACAACACACAGCCCAGAGCUCAGUAAGAAGGGAGGGCUGAGUCUCCAACUGCAGUAGAGAAUUUGCCCGCUUCUGCAAAUCUACCUGGUUUCGCCUCCUCCGAUAUGAGACCCUCUCGUCAGGGAGCCCAGCUGCGUGGAUGCCGGGGACGCUAUGGCUUUGAGGACUGGCCCACCGAGCCAAAGGUGGAACCUGUUUGUCCACAAAUCCUUUUCCUCACCGUGAUGGCUGCUUUGCUUGAUGGAUCUGCAGCUGCUUGGCUUACUUUUUGAUUUGUGUGAGCAAAACCGGCGCCUUUCUCCACCACUUUACCUUUAGCUUGUGUUUCAGUAUUGAAAGUCUGCCUUUUUGUAC
rnacentral:lncRNA from 1 species